rnacentral:rRNA from 1 species
UGGGGAAUAUUGCACAAUGGGCGCAAGCCUUAUGCAGCCAUGCCGCGUGUAUGAAGAAGGCCUUCGGGUUGUAAAGUACUUUCAGCGGGGAGGAAGGGAGUAAAGUUAAUACCUUUGCUCAUUGACGUUACCCGCAGAAGAAGCACCGGCUAACUCCGUGCCAGCAGCCGCGGUAAUACGGAGGGUGCAAGCGUUAAUCGGAAUUACUGGGCGUAAAGCGCACGCAGGCGGUUUGUUAAGUCAGAUGUGAAAUCCCCGGGCUCAACCUGGGAACUGCAUCUGAUACUGGCAAGCUUAAGUCUCGUAGAGGGGGGUAGAAUUCCAGGUGUAGCGGUAAAAUGCGUAGAGAUCUGGAGGAAUACCGGUGGCGAAGGCGGCCCCCUGGACGAAGACUGACGCUCAGGUGCGAAAGCGUGGGGAGCAAACAGG